rnacentral:rRNA from 1 species
GAUGAACGCUGGCGGCGUGCCUAACACAUGCAAGUCGAGCGAGAAGUUUGAAAAAUGAGUUUUCGGACAAGUGAUUCAAACGGAAAGCGGCGGACGGGUUAGUAACGCGUAGGCAACCUGCCACGUGCAGAGGGCCAGCCCCGGGAAACCGGGAUGAAGACCUCAUGAUAUCGGUUUAUCACAUGGUAAUCCGGCCAAAGAUUUAUCGGCAUGGGCUGGGCCUGCGUCUGAUUAGCUGGUUGGUGGGGUAACGGCCUACCAAGGCGACGAUCAGUAGCAGAACUGAGAGGUUCAUCUGCCACAUUGGAACUGAGACACGGACCAAACACCUACGGGAGGCAGCAGUGAGGAAUAUUGCACAAUGGGCGAAAGCCUGAUGCAGCAACGCCGCGUGAGCGAAGAAGGCCUUUGGAUCGUAGAGCUCUGUCCUUGGGGAAGAAACAAAUGACGGUACCCUUGGAGGAAGCCCCGGCUAACUACGUGCCAGCAGCCGCCGUAA